AUAUAUUCUUAACAGGUCGGGUUUGGGUUGGGGAUUAAAAUAUCAUCCCCGCCCCUUCCCGAUCACCAUACCCGAUAAUUUUCCCAUAUCCGUUUUUUGUCCUUCAUACCCGACCCAUUAGGGUCAAAGCCCCCUGAAGACCCUUACCCACGGGGAAAAUUUCCAUCCCUAGCCAAAUCCUAAAAUUUUGCUCAUAAUAACUCAGAAAGCUUUCCCUUUCCUCGCAAAGCAUCGCUUGUUUCGAUCUGGAAUUGGAUCAAUCUCCAACGAUGGCUUGUGUGUUGGCUAUUUCGGGUUUUAGAGAAGAUGGGUCUGAGGAUGAGAAGGAAGUGCUUGAGAUUGAGGUCAAUGAGGUCCUUUGGCGUCGGUUGAAAAGUCAUAUGUAACUGCACUAAGGGAGGAGCGUAGAGAAGGAAGCACUUUGCCACAGGAGGAGGGUGGCUGCUACAGAACCCUGGUGGAGAACCAGCAGGUUUAUAUCCAUCCAAGCAGUGCUCUGUUCCAGAAACAACCAGAUUGGGUCAUCUACCAUGAGCUGGUUAUGACCUCAAAAGAAUACAUGCGCGAGGUGACAGCCAUAGACCCAAAAUGGCUGGUGGAACUGGCACCAAGGUCCUUCAAAUUUGCAGAGGCUAACAAGAUGAGCAAGCGCAAACGUCAAGAAUGCAUCGAGCCGCUAUAUGAUAGAUACAAUGAGCCUAACUCUUGGCGCCUCAGUAGGCGUCGUGCUUGAAGACUGAUAUAUAUAUAUUGGUCUUUAUCUUGCAUUGAUUUCUCUGUAAUGUAAAAGGAGAUUAGCAUUAUGCUUUGGUAUAGAAAAUAUAAUACAUUACCACAUGUUGAAGUUUGAAUUUCUAAGCUUAGUAGUAUACUUCGGAAGAAAUGUGAACACCCCCAAACCAAUCACCAACUGUUUACUCUUUGUUAAUUAAUUGCAUGUCUAAUCGGAUUUCCAUUUUUCAAAA